rnacentral:lncRNA from 1 species
AAGAGCCAGAGGGGGAAGAGGGGCUGGCUCUCAACCACCACGAAAUGGGAGGCCUUUAUGUUCAGGUUUUGCCCAAGACUGCGUUCGGACCCGUCUGAUCGUAAAUCCCAUGUAAGGUACCUGCCGUCGGAAGAUUUGAACGUUCUACUUGGACACCUAAAACCCACAGUCCUCCAGAAAGACAACAGGUACAAAGCCCUAAGGAUUAUAAAGGUAUGCUGCUUACCAUCAUCUUAGUGACCAAGGCAGCGAAGCUGUUUCUGUACCUUGGAACAGUCUUCCCUGACAAGCCAGAGAACAGUGAUAAAGCCACCAGCCUUGGGAUCAGGACUGAAAAGGCAAGAGUGAUGGAGAUUUCUCCUGCGCUAAGCCAAGAGAAGGUUUCAGCACUUCAGACAGCUCCCACCGAAGUAGCCGCGCUCCCAGCUGCUUGCAGAUGUUGAAAAGGAAAGCCUCGGUUUGUCUUGAGGUUGUCAGCAGGUGCAAGACACGUAAUAAAAUGCAAUGUGUUCCUAA